CCAAACUAAAAAUUACACCACUACAAAACACGGAGACGAGGAAAAAAAGAAAAAAGAAAAUAAAGAAAAAUGAUGAGAACAAGAUUGUUAUGGUUUACUCUGGGUUUUGCAUCCACCUCCGCAGUAAUGACUCACUUUGUUUUCAAAGAUCUAUGGAUAGAUCGCAAAGGCAUCUUUUUCCAGUUGAAUGAAAAAUUUAAUUCUUUGGACACCCGAGUUUCGAAUCUGGAAUCCUUUCUUCCUCAUGAACACGCUCCACAGCAAGACGAAGGCAAUUUGUAAUGGCGCUUCAGCAUUUUUUCUAUAGCCUUUCCCUUAGUUUGUCAAGCUUUCUCAUGACAUCUUUUGCUGAUGAAGUCAGUUUGCAGAAAAUCUAUAUCAUGCUUGGCCUUUUAGCCCUUUGUUUUUAAUGUAUUUUGCACAAGUUUGUGGUGGCUUGGUAUGACAGUGUUUUUCCGCCAAGAGGCCACAAGAUCGACAUUAUUUAUUUUCGAUCAAGAGCAUUGUUAAUUAGCCAUUGAAAAAAAUAAUAAUAGUAAUAGAAUUUUCAGUUUAUAUAUGUAUCUUCUAAGAACAAAACAAGAAAAGGUAAAAUAAAAUCACAAGGGUUUUUU